UACAGAGGUCCCAAGCGUUGUUCGGAUUUACUGGGCGUAAAGGGUGCGUAGGCGGUCGGGUAAGUCUGGUGUGAAAUCUCGAAGCUCAACUUCGAAACUGCACUGGAUACUACCAGGCUAGAGGUUGGGAGGGGGGACUGGAAUUCUCGGUGUAGCAGUGAAAUGCGUAGAUAUCGAGAGGAACACCAGUGGCGAAGGCGAGUCCCUGGACCAAUCCUGACGCUGAGGCACGAAAGCCAGGGGAGCAAACGGG
rnacentral:rRNA from 1 species